UGCUGUGAGCUUCAUCAGCCAGCUGUGUCUGCAGAGACAUGGUCUCUCAGGCUGCCCAUUCUCUAGCCUUGAGGGGGUUCAGCCUGUAAGACACCCUGGCAGGAAAUAGGGAGACCCUUCCCUCUGGACACUGGUGGUACUGGCUACAUGGUGUGCUGGCACUAUGUCACAGAGCUGUGAGCAUCUCACCCCAGCUCCGCACUUAGUGACAUCACACUGGUACCCAGGAAUCAACAAACACCAGAACUCAGGGACUCCACCCAAGAAGCCAGUUGUUAAACAGUCACACCACACACUAGAUUUUUCUUUGAAGCCCAGCUUCUACUGGAAGUCCCCUCUCAAUGACAACAGCUCUGGAAUCUAUUUUCAGGCUUACUCCAGGAGUCCUGCACACACACACACACACACACACACACACACACACACACACACACUCAGGCUUACUCCAGGACUCUUGCACACACACACAUGCACACCCACACUCAGGCUUACUCCAAGACUCUUGCACACACACACACACACACACACACACACACACACACACAGGCCUAUGGGGAAUAAUGAUCUUGUGAGCACAGCCUCAUCUCUCAGCUCACAAUUGGGCUCUUUCAGCCUCGCCCGCCCAUUUAAUGUUAUCUGUUCUCUACAGCAACCGACCAUAGCCUGGAGAGCUUCCCAGGGACAGCUGGAAUCAGAUAACUGGAAAAGAAAUCAGUAAAAACUAUGAUGCUUCCCCAAGAUGGACCACCACCGCUCAGCACCUAAGAGUCUUGCUGUGAUGGUGUGGGCCAGUAAUGGCCGGACUCAUGAGCUCCCAGACAGAAUGCCACGGCCACCAGGAGGAAGACUAGACAUUUUCUGAUUGGAUAAAACUGGUCAGACUAAAAUGAGCAACGGCAGACAGAAACAUACAGCCGCCACUCCCACCACAGUUCAGAAACACUAGAGUCAUGACCCAGGCUAAGCUUAACUUAACCCACAUCCUCCGGGACCUGGUUCCCACCAACUCUACAAGCAUGUCCAGCCCAGCAGAGAGGAGGCCAGCAUCCCAAAGGCAUGCCAGUGCCUAAAGUGGAUAAGAAAAUAUUUAGAGAGAAAUCAUGUGAACCAGAAGAGCAUUUUCCCAGGAGCGCCACAUAAACAGGCCAUGGAGUGGGAACUACCGAAUGAAAGCGACUUGGAAAGGGCAGGUAUCCUACUCUAAUACCCAACAGCGUGGGCAGAGUAAGUCACUCCACCCCUCCGAGGAAGCCACUCGUGUAGCUUUAGACAGAAAACCUGAUGAGAGUCAUAGCUCAAACUGAGUCUGUGUCUGGUGGCUUCCCUUGAAGGUUUAAUGGCUCAUGUUGAAUUUUGUCAUCUCUCUUUGUGGGUUUGGCUUAGUGAAUGCCCAUCAAUGGUGGGAUGGUAUCUUGGGAGCCUAACUGGCUGACUGCUUCCUCUGUUUAAAAGGAGACGUGUGUUUUCACAUGCACAUGACGUGUAUGUGUUUACAUGCAUGUAUUUACAUGCAUGUGUUUAUAUGCACCCUGCCUGUAUAGGUGCCUUCGGAGGACGGAGGGUGUCAGAUCCCUCAGAACUAGAGCUUCGGGUGGUCAUGAGCUGCCUGGUGUGGGUGCUAAAAAUGAAAUCCGGGUGCUCUGCAAGAGCAGUCAGUGCUCUCAACCUCGGAGCCACCUCUGCAGGCCUUGCUGCUUCCUCCACCUCUGUGACAUUUGGGUCCUUUAGCGUCUGUUUCUUCUGUUGCGCAUCGUAUCUUAAACUGGCACUGACAACAUUUUCAGCUCUCUGACUGAUGGUACAGAAAGAAAGCCUCUGCUUUUAUUAUCAUUAUUAUGAUGUAUACGAGAGGGGUGUGAGGGGGAAAGAGAGAUGGAGAGGGAGGUUUUGCGUGUGUUCUGAAAUUGCUCAAGAAGCUUCAUUCGUAGCUGAUAGACAUCGGAAAGCCACACCCAAGGAGGCGACCUCACUGUGCCUUUGCUUAUGGGGACCUGGGAGGAGCAGUACACAGAGAGGGCAGGCAUGCAGUGGGCAAGAGACAGCGAAACCCACAGAGCCCCUCAGGAAGCUGGCUGGCCAUGAGUUGGGAACAGCUGAGGGCGUGCAGGGCAAAGUGCAGCUCUAUAAAUAGCGGACGGCACCCAUGCUCAAGGAAGGCAGGACAAGAAGGGUGGAGUGACACUGGCCUGCAUGCUUGCAAACUAAACCCCUGUAGGACAUCAUUGAGGCCAGCGGGGAUCUACUAGUGUCAGGGGUGACAAAGAGAUAAAAGGCCCCUGGCUCCUGAACUCAGCACAGUGUAGCUGAAAUAAAACAGGCACAGCUGAGAGAGAGCUCGGUGUGCAGGGCAGCGUCCUAGAGAAAUACUUUUUUUCUUUUUGAAGCACACUUUGAAAAUUUGACCUUCGGUGGUUAAAAAUAAGGUUCCAAACACACACAUGAGCUAUUUCUUGCGUCCAUGUUUCCAUGACUGAGACAUCCCGUGGCUUAUAACUUGAUGUCGCCCUCGCUCCUCUACUCAAAGUCUUUUAAGGCUCCCACAGCUCUUGAAGAAAAAGCCAGAAUCCUUUGAGAGAGUGAAAGACAAGCCACAGACUGGGGAAAGAUAUUUGCAAGACCCCAAAGACCUCUAUUCUGGGGUUGGAGAGCAUUUUAAGAGUACUGACUGCUCUUGAAGAGGAUCCAGGUUCGAUUCCCAGCACUUAGAACCAUCUGCGGUGGCUCACGACCACCUGUAACUCUGGUUCCAAGGGAUCCAACACCUGAGAUUUCCUGCCUGUAGGUUCCUGCCCUGACUUCCCCCAGUAAUGGAGUGACCUGAGAGCUGUAAGACAAAUAAACCCACGUUGUAGAUCACAGCAACAGGAUCAAAGUAAGAGUCCGCCCUGGAAGACAACAGGGAAAAACCACCAUGCAUCCAUCUAGGCCAUGUCCACAGACACGAUGGGAACUACUAUAGGAGGAUGGCUUCGAAGCUGUGCCCUUUGAUGCUGUGGAGUGGACGUACACCAUCACACACUUGUCAAGACUCAAGCUGAGAGGAGCCUAGGAAACUGGACCUGGGUGACUAAUCACUAUUAUCUAAAUGUCCCUGCAGCUCAUGGUGAUAUCCGACCUCUUGAAAAGCUAACAGCCACAGCAGGAGGGGUGUCUAAUGAAAAGGGGGAGCCUGGCCUGCUUCUCUCUGCCCCUUAAGUGCUCACGUGCCCUUCUGCCGUGCUAUGACGUGACACCAAAGCUCUUCCCGAGGGUGGCUCUGGUAUCUCCACCUUUGUGGCCUCUAUCCCUGGGGUCAGCAAGCUCUGAUCUCUGAUCUCUGCUGCAGCAGAGGGAAACCGAGACAAUAAUCACAUAUCAAUAUUCACCAUUAUUUGUACCGAGCACAUCAUGCCUAUAGGGAUGCUGGCACAGGGAGGCUGUGGGGGACAGAGGGGUACGAUACAGGAACUGGUUGCACUUUGUGCUCAAUGUUUCCGGGAACCUCAAACAGUUCUGAUCACGGCCAUCUGCUUCGGCCUCCUCAGUCACUUCAGGCUCCCACCCUAACACCAUCAAGCCAGCUGCUGUCUCACUCGUGUGAGCCCUGCUCUUCCUGGGCCUGGUCAGGCCUCUCCUACCUUAAGACCUUUACACUUGCUAUCCUCCCAGCCAGAUCAUUCUCCUCCAGGGUGUUUGGACGGGUUUCUGUUCAGCUGACACACCUCAGGAACAGCCACCCUGACUUCCUGGUGUAAGCUGCCCCACUCCCCACGCUCCUCCUCCCCCUCCCCCUCCCUCUCUCCUGUUAGGCCUGUUUCCUUGCCUGCUUCUUCCUAAGGGUGAAAUCUCAUCCGCAUCCUCUGGUCUUGGGACUCCUCAUCCCAACCACCAGGACGAUGGGCCUAAAACUUUCAAAUGUACAUCUCAGAUUAAAAGAUUUUUUUUCUCUAAACUCCUUAACUUUACCUCUGUCUCUGUCUGUCCCACCAGACUUCAGAUCAACUACAGACUGCUCCAACAAUUCCAGGGCCAAUCACCAAUCGUCUCCUCAGAAUCUACAUCCGGGGCCCACCCUCACGGAGUGCACUUCCCUAACCUCAGAUGGUCCCAUGGAACCUGGAUAUCGACUGAAACAGCCUGUUCUUCCCGGCCUUGACCAGCUGCAGAAAGCAGCCAGAGAGAAUGACGCCCACUUGCCCAAUACCUAAUUAUAAAACUCAAUAAUAAAACAAAAGAUGGGUCGGAGGGGCUCCAGCAGGGACGGGCACACUCUGGUAAGCCUUGCCCUUCCCCCACUCUCUGUGCCUGGCUAAACUGUUGGAUUCCAUUCCUAAAGCUACUCACCAAGGUCUGUUCCCUUAUUUGGCUACUGCCUCCUCCUGAGACUGACCACCAGGUCCAGCUGUCAAAGCAUUGAAGCCUAGCAAUCAACUCCCCCCCAUUGGCUCACCUGAUUAACAUGCCUAAUGAAAUUAAAUACCUCAUACUAACACAAGUUUCCCCUUUCACCCUCAUAGCAUCGGCCAUUUUCCCAUAGGCAUGUCUGUCUCCUCUCUAUCCAGAGGCAGUCCUUUGUCCCUCCUGGGCAAACAUCCCUUUCCCCUUUCCUUUGUUCCCUUCCCCUUCUCCUUUAUCCUCCAUCUCCUGUCUUUGUCUCUUACUCCCUACCCCUCUGGGGUAGAUAAAUCUUGUGCUGAGAACCUGGGGUGUCUUGUGAUGAUUCUGUCCCUUCAUUUAUCCCCCUGAGCUCUUCGGUAAUAAACGGCUUGGGAACUCUCUUCCUUAUUGUUCUACUGCCGUGCAGAGACACCAAGACCAAGGCCAUUUAUAGAAGGUAUUUGAUUGGAGACUUGCCUACAGUUCCAGAGGGUUACAGUCCAUGGACAUCAUGGUGGGGACCAUGGUGCUGGAGCAGUAGCUGAGAGCUCAGUCAAAGCCCACGCCUCCUCUAACAAGGACGCACCUUCUAAUUCUCCCUAAACCGUCCACCACUGGGAGCAAAAUAAAGACAGAAGAGUGGAGACCGGUCUCAUUCAAACCAUCAGAGGGACAAAUUUAAGCAAAUAUGAUAUGUCUAGGCGCUUGAUACUUUUUUCAGUGAAUUAGUAAAUUAAGGACCCAUGUCUAAAAACCUCUAACUGCCAAUGUUGCCUUGACUGUAGCCCCAAAUAUGAUGCUGAUGGCAGUUAUAACGUCUGGUUCCAAAAAGUCAACAGUCCUGGCCCGUAGCCUGCGACACACCUCCCGUGACUCUGUCCUUGUCUGGGCACCAGUGUGCACUUGCACCAGACAGCCAUGAAGGGACGAAGCAAUGGAUGCUCACCCCAGGGCCGCUGGGAUGCAUGGUCCAUUAUCCACCCAAACUGAAGCUUAGGACAGACCAUUCUGAUGUAAGACUUAAAACAACCUUAAACCGUCUCCUUGGAAACAGAGAGCAAAUGUUACAGGAAAGAACCAUCCUCUUGGCUUUACCUAAAGACCACAACUCUUCUGGGUGCCCCUGGCCUGUUUCUGCUUCAGGCUGCUGCCCUAGGGCUCCCCUGCUCUUGGCAUGCUGCUGUGUGACAGUUGCCUCUGAGAUUGCAACACUCCAUCCGGCAGGGAAGCUCCUUAAGCAGGAAGGUGAUCGACUCAGAAUAGCUUCAGGAAGUCCCUUAAACUGACCAGAUUCAGCAGGCCUGCAAGAGUAAGUACUAGAAGCUGGGAGUCCCCCUCAGACAGGUGCAGUUAAUCUGCAAAGGAGACUCUGAGGCCAGACCAGCAGUCUGGAAGAAACUAACGCUGCCAGGAGGAGGUUUUGAGGAACCAAGGCACCUGGGAAGGACACUCUCCAACCUGUCGAGCUGCCUGAAGGCUGUGCACACAGCUCCAGGUUCCUAGCUUGUGAACUCCCACCCAUAUGAGGUGGGCACCAGUGAUGUCACCGGUGAUGUCACCGGUCAGUCAUUUCUGCAUCUGCAUCCCUUCAUCCAUAUUCCUGUAUCAAAACUCACUGCCCCACCAAAUUGGGUUUUAGUGGUAUCCAUACUUCUGUCUGUUUUGGGCUCCCUAUCUGGGGUGGGGGGGGACAGAUGCAUAUGUGUGUCUCCCCAGGAAAAGUUUUGUCACACAACACAUGCGCACACUGGGUCUGGGGGAUCCACUUCCUGCAGGUGUAUCAGGGCAUCGACGUAGCCUCUGCUGCCAAAGAGGCUCUGGUUUCAAAGCUCGCCCCUCUAUCACUGAGGGAAAUCGCUGGCCCCUUCACCUGCCUUGAUGUGGCCGCCCCUGAGAUCUGCGUGUUUCCUUGGGCUGUGUUACAUGGUCUCCUAAGUUUCAUGUGAGGACUCUAUGUAGACCUCAACAACUCUGACUUUUCAGGAGAAACCGACUUUAAAGAGCAAUGAGGAACCACAGAGCCAGGCUGGACCGGAGGCUGACACAGACAGAGGGGAAGGGGCGAGCAGGGCGGCUGCCCACGCUGACCUAGGCACCAGCUCACAAGCGCUGGCUCAGCUCAAGGUAGCUCCAGGGGAGGGGGACAGCCUGGCUACUCUCUCAACUUCCCUCCUGCUGGGCAUAUUUGCAGACGUGUCCUUGGUUUAGCACCUCUGCCUCCUCCAUCAUCCCUGCUUACUUUUUGUCUAUUUAAGAAGAGUUUUACUGGGGGCUGGGGAUUUAGCUCAGUGGUAGAGCGCUUACCUAGGAAGCGCAAGGCCCUGGGUUCGGUCCCCAGCUCCGAAAAAAAGAACCAAAAAAAAAAAAAGAAGAAGAGUUUUACUAAUGUGUUAAUAUUUUGGCAACAUUAUUGCAACGAGUUUAAAAGGCAGACAGACUAGUCUAGACUUUAAAGGAACAAAUGAGGGUUGUACAAUUAAAUUAUUACACAGAGCUAAGGAGUUUACUGAAUCACUACAAGGCCCAGAAAACAAAUUAAAUCUGAAACAUUAAAUCCAGUAUUAGCACCUACAAUAUCUCUAAAAAUUCAACUUGUAACUGCUUUGUUCAUUCCUUAUGUCUCUUAACUUCUCCCAAACAUGGUGCUCUCAAACUCCUAAAAGAAAGGACAUAAGAAAUUCCAAUACAGAGAGGACAGAGAUAAAGAAGAGCUGGGAAAAUUAACUUGGGUCAGUUCCCUAGGUGGCUUUAUAAUUCCACAAGUAGUAUCUUAGCUCAGUUCUUCCCCAGAUUAGCAACAGGCUUCGAGGGUGUGUUAUGCCUGUGGUCCCGCUAACCCGCUGCCCGGAUUCCCCGUGCUACCAGCCUUGGUGCUCCAGCUCUUAAGACUGAUUCCUACCGUUCAGUGUCAGAAGCUCCUUGAGAGAAUAAUCCGUACUUGUUUCAGUAUUGCGGUCAUUAUUAAAGCAGUAUUUAAUAUAGUUCUGGUUAUUUCUUUGAAGCCAUUUCUGUUAAUGUGCAUUACCUCGAAAUGUUGGGGAGAUAUUGUGUGUGUUGCUUGUUCAUAAGAUACAUAACAGAGGACUGGAGAGAUGGCUCAGAGGUUAAGAGCACUGACUGCUCUUCCCAGCAACCACAUGGUGGCUCACAACCAUCUAUAAUGGGAUCUGAUGCCCUCUUCUGGUGAGUCUGAAGAUAGCUACAUUGUAUUCAUAUAUGAUAAAUCUUUAAAGAUUCAUAACAGAUACAUAAGCCAGACACCCGGCCACCAGAUACCCUGCCCCAGCUCCGCCCCAGUGUGUGAUGAGCAGGCACCUUAAACACCUAAUUCUAGUUUUGUUACAGAUGUAACUUAGGAGAAAAAAGUGAUAGGAAUAACACUGUAUGUUGCUAAUUUGUAACCUACUGUGAACUCUGAUUCAUAGCCUCCUCACAUACAGUACUUGGGGCACAGAAAUCUUUCCAUUGACUGGGGUAAGUUUUGGCUUCCCUGCUUACUUCUGAGCCCCUGCCAGGAGAUUGACCUUGGUGGUUCUUUUCUCAGACCUGAGCCAUCCACCGGUCUCUCUUUCUGCAGUCUGGUUUUCUGUGGAGAUGUUCUUUCUCUUCCAUUGCUGUUUCUCAAAGCUUCCUCAUGAUGGCUCUCUCAGGAUUCCCCGGGGCAUGGCUCUAGAAUCAUCUCAAUAGACAAAAGUUGACCACAGGACUUCCACAAAGCCCCUUAAGACUGUGUGUGUUGACCGGAGCUAAGACUCGAGGGCCCCAGAGGGUCCUAUGCAUUUCAGUGGUCUGUGGUCUGCUGGGACAAGUACUGUUGGUUCUCAGCAGAGGCUGACCUAUAGCCUACGAGGAGCUAACGUGACUACCAGCUAGUCUCAGUCUGUGUGGAAAUGGGAAGUCUAGCUUAAACCAGGCCCCACUAGCUUCCUCAGACAGAGGACUGGGAUAGCCCAGAGCAAGGACAACCAUUCUCAUGUCCCUAGAGGCAGUGUGGGAGCACAGGAAGCCUGCCUAUGCAUCACAAAGAAAAACACGUCAAAAGGAGGCCAGUAGACUGGUACAGUGGACAAGCCACAGCCACACCCAGGAGUUUGUUUAUGAUCCCCCACAAAGCCUUGCUAGGAGAGAAUCCAGGUAGACAGAUUCUGUUGUUUGUUUGGGGGCACUUCUAGAGGGCCUUGUCUCUCUUGGUCCCUUGGCCCUGAAUGCUGAGUAGACUCCAUCACAGACCCCUGGACCAGCGUCCCGAGUGUGGUCUCUCAGCAGAUGGUACACCUCCCAUUCCAGAGGAAGUUUUUAGAUGCACAGACACAUAUAGGGACUCCUCUUCUUAAACAAGUUCAAAACCCCUAUCCAACCCAAACAGGAUUUCUUUCCCCUCUUCCUGCCUCCACAUCCCAAUGCAGCAGAAGUCAACCCAGGCAGACACUGGGAUUCCACUGUCUAAGCACAAAAGACACUAGGAAGGAACUUCUGGGCAUUGAGGAGCCCCUCUAGGGUGGCCAUGCAGUCUAUUCACCUGGGCAAGAGUCCCUAUGGCACAUAGUCCUGGUACUUCACGAUUUUUUCAGUAGGCUGCUCAUGGCUCUCAACUGAGGGCCCCCAGAGCAUCAGCCUUCUUUCUGACCUUGGUGAGAAUGCAGGUUCUCAGGCCUGGCCCCAGCCUGUGAGAUCUGGAAUUCUGUCGGUGAGAACCAACAGUCGAAGAUUUCAUGAGCCAAUGUUGGGGUUUUUAACCCAGAACCAACUUGAGCCAAAGGUAACAGAAGUGACCAACCAUGACAGAGGAAAUGCAAACCCCGUGAUUCCUAAGUGACACUGGAGACUGCUGACAUUUUAAUAUGCUAGGCCACCUCUGUGGAGAGGAGAGGACGAGCCGGCCAGCCAGGAACCCAGUAAUGAGAUACCUCUGCCAUGCCCACUGUGACUCUCCUCGAGGCCUCUCGCGAGAAGGUGGAAAGCAGCGAAACUCGAGGCAUUUGUUUCCUCAGUCAUGGAAACGGAGCUGGACUGGGUUGGAUCAAGCUGGUUUUAAUGCUUCAAGUUGGAAAAAUAAUCCCCGAGAGACUCGCUCACAUCGAUCGCAUGGUAUUCAGCGGUGCUGAUCCGACAAAACAACUUGUUGGUUUGCUCCCCUCCCUGGUUGCCAUGGUUAUGUGACACGCUGUGAGCCCUUACUACGUGGAGAAAGAAACAAAGCCCAGGGGUCCACGGAGAGAUGGAAUUGUAACAAAUGACCUUCACCUUCAACAUGAGCUUGACAGAAACUCUACACUGGCAUCCAUGAAAUGCUUGACGUCUCCCAGACCCAGACUCUGACGUGUCGACUACAAGACACACACUGCAGACAGCGUUUUUAGAGCAGGGUCAGUCUUCCCUUAAAAGCCACCCACUGCCUAAUGACACAGCACGGGUAUAUUCGUGAGCUGAAGGUGACCAUCUUGGAAGUUCUCAGGGCAUAACUGUUUACAAUCAGCACAGCACAUGCUGGACUUAACCCAAGGACUCUUCACUGUGAAGAAAAAGGGACAGACUUUAAAAGAUGGGACACAAAAGAAACAUACCCUAGGCAUAUGUCCCUGGAGCUGCUGGGGCAGAGUACAGUUUGGUAGAGCACCUACCUGGAGAAAAACGUACCCGAGGGUCCACUCCUGCUGACGAAUUCCCUACACGGUUUAUGAAGGCGGGGCUUCCAGUUGAGUCCGCCACAAAUGCUGUAAGUUCCCGCACCUGCUUUCUGCAGGCAUUCAGAUAUUUGAACUCUUGCUCAGUGAGACCAACAUACUCUUGCACCUCCAUUUCCGCCCGCCAUGCCCUGCUAGCUCCAGGCUCUCUCCUUCAACCCAUCUCCUCAACACAGGGCCUUUGCCAAGGUCACCAAGAUAAGUGCGGCCCUAGCCAGUCUGACUGAGCCUGAGGACAUUGAGUGAACACAGGUGGGGCACCCUUCCCUCAUGGUGAUGAGUCUUUCGGUGACACGCCUCAACCUCCCAGCAGCAUUCGGCUCUGUUGCCCUCCACCUUCCAGCCAUUGGCCUUUGCCUGACUGCCCUGGGCACGGUCCUUGGUCUCCUGGUCUCCUAGGUACUCUCUGGCCGUCAUUCAUUUCUGUCGUGGCCUUGGGCCUUCCCACACCUGCAGUGUAUAAUGGCCCCUGUGAAAUCUCAUCUGCCUACAGCUCCAAGCCUUGUCUCUAAACUGUCACUCCCAGACUUAUAACUGGCCAUUGCCCCCGUCCCCGAUGCCACAGCUCUGCAGACACUGCUACCAAAUGCCCCAUAUCACACUCAUGACCCCACGGAGCAGCCAGGGCUCUCGUGGCUGGUCCUGCUGAGCUUCCACAGAUCAAUAGGGACUGGAAAGGCCUUUCCCAGGUAGCCUGCAUCAAGGCCACUACCGUCUUCUCUUGUUGCCCUCUCACCCUGCCCCUCCUCUGUUUUCUACCCUAUGAUAGGAGUACUGCUGUCUAAACACUUAGCCAAUCGUGAUUCGAAGCCUUGAGAACGCCUGGCCCAGCAGGCCCUCUGCUGUCUUCCCUCUCUAUCCCUCAGAGAACACUCUGUUUCAGGCCUGGACCAUCCGACACAGGUCUAGAGAACCAGGUCACCCUGGGCCAACCAGGGCCUCUAUCUAGUGCAUGUGUCCCCUGCUCCACAUAGCCACCAUCUGCCAGGGCUCAUUGUGAGGCUGCAGCCUUCCCUAAGCCACACCUCGGUCCCAUCUGCCAAGGGUCAGCCGGGUCCUGCUCCUGUGCAUACUUGGAAAUCUGCCUCCUGCGGUCCGAGCACAUAGCUCCUUCCUAGAACAGCCAGCUCACACCGUUUCUUCAGUUAUUCACACACACACCCCGCCCCCACGGCUCUUGGAACAUAGUAAACACUCACACAAGAUUUCGUGAGAAAGACACAAAUGAACGGGGAGCCUCUCUGCCUCAACUCCCCACCCCCAACAUAAUGCAAGUACGGUAGUCACCUUGGCCUUUAAAACUAUGCACGUCUUCUGCAUUCCCAAGGAGACUCAAACGUACAGAACAGCCAGAGUGGUGAGCCAAAGUCCCAUUCCCCCUACAGAAGCGGGUGAUGGAUACUGUCCCGUGCCACUCAUUGUGACAUCCAUGGGCAGUGUGAUGGUUUGCAUAUGCUUGGCCCAGGAGUGGCACUGUUAGAAGGUGUGGCCUUAUUGGAGGGAGUGUGUCACUGUGGGGUGGGCUUGGAGACCCUCCUCCUGGCUGCCUGAGGAUGCUCAGUCUGUUCCUGGCUUCCUUCAAAGGAAGAUGUAGAACUCUCAGCUCCUCCUGCACCAUGCCUGCCUGGACGCUGCCAUGCUCCUGCCUUGAUGAUAAUGGACUGAACCUCUGAACCUGUGAGCCAGCCCCAAUUAAAUGUUGUCCUUAUAAGAGUUGCAUUGGUCAUGGUUUCUCUUCACUAAGACAGGCAGUAUCGAUGAAGACAGAUCUUUGCCUUCUCGGGUUUAUCGGUAAGGUUCUCCCCGACUCCAACUUUGGUUUUCCUUGUCCUUUCGCUGUGGAUGGCAACUGACACUUUUUAUUUCAGAUUCAAACCGUUUUUUGCUGAAUACAUUUUGCAGGAAUACAAUUGUGUUUUGUGUAUACGUCCUGCUAAACUCCCUUGUUGGUUCUUCUGGCUGUUUUAUGGUACACAUCCAACUUUCUAUACAGGCAACUACGUGGUGUGGUGUCUAUGUAGAAAGGAAACCUUACCUCCUUUCCAGAUGGGCACUGAGGCCUCUUUCCUUCUCAGACAUCAUGGCAGGGUUAAGCAGGGGGGAAGCAGCUCAUCCCCUGAUUACACCAGUGGCUGUGGAUCCCACAGCAGCCCCUUCUGCAGGCCAGGUCACCUCUCUUCCUCACCCGAGUAGCCAGCAGGUUGUCUCAGAAAUGGAUGAUGGAUGACUCUGGAUGCUUUUCUGCAUCUAUGGACAUAAUCCUGUGGUUUUUCUUUUGUAGAUUAUUAACAUGGUCAAUUAUAUUGAUGGGUUUCCAGCUGUGGAACAUGAUUCCCAAGACUGGUCCCUCGUGGUAAUGAACAUACAUAAUGCUUAGAGGCUUUUUUUUUUUUUAAUGAACAUGGUGUUUUGCCUGCAUGUGUGUGUACCAUGUGCAUCCAAUGCCUACAGGGGUUAGAAGAAAGCACCGGACUCCUGGGGCUACAUUAUAACCAGUGCUCCUAACCACUGCACCAGCUCUCCAGUGCUCCUAACCACUGCGCUAUCUCUCCAGUGCUCCUAACCACUGCGCCAUCUCUCCAGUGCUCCUAACCACUGCACCAGCUCUCCAGUGCUCCUAACCACUGCACCAGCUCUCCAGCGCUCCUAACCACUGCACCAGCUCUCCAGCGCUCCUAACCACUGCACCAGCUCUCCAGCGCUCCUAACCACUGCACCAGCUCUCCAGCGCUCCUAACCACUGCACCAGCUCUCCAGCGCUCCUAACCACUGCACCAGCUCUCCAGCGCUCCUAACCACUGCACCAGCUCUCCAGUGCUCCUAACCACUGCACCAGCUCUCCAGCGCUCCUAACCACUGCACCAGCUCUCCAGUGCUCCUAACCACUGCACCGGCCCCCACUAGAUUCAUUUUUUUAAGCUUUACCCUUAAGUUUAUGAAGGUCAUAGGUUGAUGAUAUCUAUCCUUACGAUAUCUUUGUCAAGUUUGUCCUUAGGGUGAGGUUCACUGCUUAGGAUAAUGCAGGAAAUAUUCUUUACCUGGAAGUUUUGGAAGACUUUAUGAAGAAAAACUGGCUUUGUUUUCCCCCAAAACACUCGGUAAAUCAUCCAGGGACAUUAUCUCACCCGGAAUUUUCUUUAUGGGAGGUGUUUUCCUCUCCAAACCUGAUUUCCAGACAAAAUGUAGGACUAUUUGGGUCAUUGGCUUCCUCUCGAGUAAGCUUGGGACGUUCGUGCUUUCCAGGGGCCUUGUGCACUUUGUCUAAGCUGUGGAAUUUACUGGCAAAGGAGCAGUACCUACUGGCACAGCUUCCCUCCUGAAGCAACGCCCACCAUGAGCCCUCUUACCAGUGGGCUCUGCCCACGCCGCUGGCUGUGUCUUCUCUCCUUUGUUCUCCAUCAGGUGCAGCUUCUCUAGGACUUGUUCUUCUGUAGGACUUUUAUAUUCCAUGAUUUCCUUUCUGCUCUUUUUUUUUUUUAAGGGCAAUCUAAUAAAUACUUCUCUAUGACUGCACACGGGGUAAGGCCGCGCGGGGGUUCAGAAAGAUCAUGGCGAUGGUGUUUUCCCGUGUACUCUUUGGUAGUGACCGGAGUGACAUGUAUGAAGUCACUGCCAUGCCAGCAAGACCGCAUUUAUGCACCUGUUGUGGUAACUUGGGCACACUUUCCCCAAACCACCCUUCCUCCUGUGUCACGAGGCCCAACUCACAUUCCCUUAGUCCCUGCGCCUUUGGUCAUCACGCCCAGAGUUGUAUAUGAUGGGGACAACGGACUCUUGUUCACACCACGCAAAAGGUGGCCUUCAGCUCAGGGUGUGUGACACGGGCUUCUUUGGAAAUGCAGGCCCACUGGCCUAAUGAACCUUUCGUAUUUAGGUGGUUUCCGUGUCAAACCAUCACCAACAGGGCAGACUUUAGUAACUGUCCUCUUCCAAGCCUUCUUCUCUCUUUUUCCUGUUUUAAUAACUUUCAAUACUUCUGUUUCUCCCUGGGCAUGAACUUUGGGUAGAGGGACCUCCAUUUUCCCGCCUUCUCUUCUCAUUUCUUCUUAAUCCUGUUGGAAAGUACUUUUGCUCUCUGUCCAGCAGAUAGGCAGGGACUGCUCCCUGUGGGAUCUUCUCGUCAUUCCUCUGCUUGGUGUUUCUCUUUCCAUGCGUCUUUUAAUAGUCUUUUUCAUUUGGUUUUGAGUCAUUUGUUUUGUUAUUUCAUGGUGGGCGGGCUUUUUUGAAUGUUCACAGGCCUUCUGACUUUCUUCCUCUUUUUCUCAUCGUAGUCUCCAAAUGAAAUCCAUAUCAUUUAUGCUGGGACUCAAUAUAUUCACGACACGAUGACAGUCAGGGAGCAGGCGUCCAAGACCUCCCAGGUGCCAAGAACCUCUCAACGUCUGGGUCUCGCUGGCCCACAAGCUAACUUCAUGAAGCCAUUCUGGUCUUUCUCACCCUUGUUCCCUCCCUUGGUGUAAGUAAGUUCGCUUAUUCUAGUCUCCUCAAACCGAAGCCCCCUCAGACCGCAGGAGACCAUCCUGUGUGUUGGGCACCUCAAUAUCUCCCCAAGUAUAACCUCACAUGAUGAAGCUGUGGUCACUCCUGGGAGAGCUUCCUCCACGAGGCUAAGUCCAUGGAUAAGUUCGCCCGUGUACUUGUCAGCAGCUGAUAGUGUCUGAGGACGCUAAUCCCAUUCUCCUGUCCAGGAGCAAUGUGGCAUCUGUGACAUGGCCUAGAAGUCCACCCUUUGACACGAGUCUAUCCCUGUGGCCAUAUGCUUGUUUUCAAAUCACUGUACCCGGAAAGCAUGUUUCUGUGUGGGAAAAGCCUGUGACCCACACUGGUGUUUCCUGAGAUUAAUUAUACAUCACAGAUCUUAAGUAAAGCAAGCUCUUCAACACCACCGGGAGAUGGCUCAGGAGAAAUCAGGGCAGCGGGGAUGAAGUGUCCUGAGUGUCUCCCUCCUCCUGUGAGCCUGCAGCACAGGCGAUCAGACCUAAAGCCUGUUUCCCAAUCCCUUCCUUUUCUGUCACAAUCACUGUGACGUCCUUACUCCAAGUAACCGACGAAGUCACUCUUUAGCCAUGUGUCCAAAAAAAAGCAACCGGCAUUUUCUGAAAACCUGUACUCCUAACCAAAGAGCUUUUUUAUUUUUAAAUGUUUAUUAACUUUUUGUUUUUUAAGAAAGGAGUUGCUGCAGCUUAAGCAGGCUUCACGCUUGCUGUGUGGCUGAGAAUGACCUUGCAUUUCUGAGCAUCCUGCUUCCGCCUUCCUCCUGCGGACACCACAGGUCUACACUCCACACCUAGUUUCAUGGGGUGCUAAGGAUGGACCCCAGGGCUAGGGCAGUCCAUCGCCCAACUGAGCCACUUCCCUGGCCUGCAGCUCAUAGUCUUCACAGCCUUACACACAUGCAGGUGUGUUCCGGCUCUGACUGAUCAGCCUGGGAUGGCCCAGAUGAGGACCACUGGGCUCUUCUCCAUGUGACCCCCAGCCCCCAGCCACUGUCCUGUGCUCGUCUUCUCGGUGGGCCAGAGUCUCUGGGGAGCAGAGGAGCACAGACCUAAGACAACCAAGCAAAGAGCCAGCAGCAGAUGUUACUGCCCUCCCACAGGCCAGGCCCCAUCUAGACGGACUCAUGUUCAGAUGAAGAAGUCGGUUUCACCUCUUGACCUAAGUAAAGUCGUCUUGGCUUAAAAAGUCUGGAACUCCUGACGACAGGAGUGGGAGUUUCUCUCUUCUCCUGCUCUCGGGACUCUUUUCUCCUGUUGGGCUCCCUUGUCCAGUUUCCACAGGAGGCUUUUGCUUUGUCUCACUGUAUCUGGUUUUGUCCUGUUUGGUUGUUGUCUCUGGGAGGCCUGUUCUUUUCUGAAGAGGAAACAGAGGUGGGGCAGGUGGAUCUGGGGGAACGGGGAAAGAGGCAAAACUGUGGUUGGGAUGUGUUGUAUGAGAGGAGAAUCUAUUUUCAAUAAAAACAAGUAACUAAAAAGAAAAGCUGCGGUGGUAGAGAGGCCGGAGACUUGGGGUCAUUUCCUGAAUCCCCCACACCCAUCCUUGCUUGGCGUCCUGAGCUAACGUCCUCCCAGAUCUUUACACGAGAGCGACUUAUAGCACAGUCCUGUGGGCGCCAUUUACUUAAGACUCCAGUGUGAGAGCAGUUCUCCUGAAACUGAAAUUUUCCCAAUGUACACAGUUCUCUCUGCCUACCCUCAGUUAGCCUGACUGUGUAAGGAGACAUCUGGGCUGCAUGACUUCUGCAUCCUUGACACAGUGGGCUCAAACACUCCACACCUAAGACCGAAGCAGGUCGCCCAUGAUGUCCUCGAAGAGGCGGUCCUCUGUUGCUAGCAUGCCUGUAAUAGAAGCCUGACAAACACAUUAUGUUUGAAUAAUUCUCUCUCUCUCUCUCUCUCUCUCUCUCUCUCUCUCUCUCUCUCUCUCUCCCCCUCUCUCUCCCUCCCUCCCUCCGUGUGUGUGUGUGUGUGUGUGUGUGUGUGUGUGUGUGUGUGUGUGUGUAUGUGUGUGUACAGGCACACACAGGUAUGUGGAGGUCAGUCAGAGGUCAACAUUGGGUGUCUUCCUCAAUCACUAUUUUUUGGGAUAGGGUUUCUCAUUGACUGUGGAACUCACUGAUUGAGCUAAGGCCCCUCCAGGUAUCCUCUGGUCUCCAGCCCCCAUCCAGACCUUGGAUUACAAGUAAGUGCCACCGUGCCCAGUUUUCACUGUAGGGCUUGCAGAUCAGAACCCUUUGGGCACGGCAAGCACGUUACCCACUGAGCCACUCCCCCACCCAGAUUAACUGAGCCAGUCCAUUUGGGAGGGGUUCUGUCGAUGUCCUGUGUGAACACCUCACUGCCCUGGCUGUGGGACUGCAGCACAGUGGGUUAGCAGCAUCAGCCCGGCUGGGGAGGCCACAGCUUAGGGCAGAGGCUGAGAACACAGUUUCUUAAGCUGACUGGCAGUGAGGGAGGACAGCAGGAAGCCACAGCAGCCCAGAGCCCUCUCUCUGUGGCACAGACAGAGCUGCCUGCCUUCCUUCCAACCAUGACUUAUGGCCUUUAGCCUGCGUGAAGCUCGAUCCGGGAAGCCUGAACUGCAGCAGCUGGGCAUCCAGCAGCAGCUGCACAGGGGCCUAGAGUUGAAUCUUGUGCCCUUCCCCAAAAUGACAGUGGUCUAUCCAGGAAAGGCAGGGAGGCAACCCCCAUCCUCCAAAAGAUAAAGUUACCAGAAUCCGACCCUUAAGAGAAUAAAGCAUUGUUUCUGGAUUUGGGUGGUUCUGUGGUUACACCCUAGAUUCUAGCUUCAGGGACAGAACAGCAGUUUCUCAACACCCAGCAUGUCUUCUCACUAGCCCUGGGGACACUCUGCUGGCCCCAAAGGCCACUCCUGCCCAUAAGGGCUGUGCAAACUGACACACAGUAAAGGCGGACAGAGGACCUAAAGUCAUGCAGCCCAAGAACUACAGCAUGAAUCCAAGUCUCCCUGGCCCUGGAAGACCUACAAGAACAGACCUUACAGAUCUCCAGGAAGGGACAAGAGACCCGGGGAGCGGCAGUAUCUGGCUUCCAUGUGGCAGAGUUGCAUACACAGAGCGACAGUGAGCCCUCCCCUCCAGCAAUCUUCCAUGGAAUCCUGGUUCAGAAGCUAAAAGUGACGAAGGACACACAGCCCUGCCCAGCCCCACACUGCAUCGCACAGGGACCAGUUAUGUGUGAGCAAAUAAACUGCUCACCCUCACGCCACUCCAGCCUCCCCUCGGUUGCUCACACCCAUGUGUACACUCGUGGUGGUGCAGAGACUCAAGAGCCGCUGACACGAUGUGCAAGCUUCACAGCAAGACUCAGACUACAGAGUCACUGCAGAGCCCACCCUCCUGGAGUCCAUGGGAAGGGGAGCCUGAGAGGACUGACACAGGCCUGCUGCCGAGGAGACACAGCCAAAGGAUGUACCCAGCAGGGCACCCCUACCAUCAGGCUAGGGCUGCGUGCAAACUGCACGAGAAGCCAUGACGCUGGCCACUGCUGCCACGGUCCUUCUGUAGGCCUACAGUGUUGCCCUUCCCUCCCCUGACCUCACCUGAACGGGACAGUGCCACAGGACCUAAUUCUUAGGUCAGACCCAAGGCACUCUAUGGUGUUCCAAUCUGGGUUGCAAGUUCCUGAAGGCCGUGACUAUUGAUCUCCCCUGAGACCGGGCAGACUCUCCCUUCUUCUUUGAAGCUGGGUGACCCGGGGGAAGAUGCCUGCCAUGCCAGUGUCCCCUUCUACAAAGUGAGCCCUCUCAAAGGUGCACUGAGGAAGUAAACGAGACACUGCGAUUAUGGGCAGGUGCUUUCUUAGCCGUAACGAAAGUUAAGCAGUUCUUGCAGACAGAGUACAGCAGGAAAGCUCUGGUCAUUCCUGAUGAUGGAAGGAAGGAUCCUACCAGGACAGCACACGAGGGACCCAGGCUCAGAGCUCUCUCAGCGACACCCCUGGGGGCACCAGUAGCCAUGAUUCCCACUCGCUUGUCCCAAGCUGGCUGUGUGUCCACAUGUGUCCACAUGAGUGUUCACACCUAGUGAGCAUGCAUGCACCUUUAUGCGUAUGUGCAUAUGUACAUGUGUGUGCUGCAGCAAGCUCACCUGCACACUCAUGUGCACAUGUGUGUGUGCACCUACACGAACAUACACACGUCCAGUGAAACACACACACCUUUGUACAUGUACAUUUAUGUGCGCUGCUGUGUGUACUGAGUUUGCACAUGCAUGUAUGCAUCCCACGUGGGUGUGCUUGGUGUGCUAGUGCGCAUACAUAUACCUUUAUGCAUGUAUUCUGUGUGUGUGCGUGCUUCUGUGUGGACCUAUGUGUGAACAUCCUUGUGUGCAUCUGUGUGUAUAUACAUGCACAUGCACACCAGCAAGUGUGCAUAUAGCUUUGCGUAUGUGCACAUGCAUGUGCGGCUGCCCAUUCACAUGUAGGUGGGUGUGCACAGCACAUGCCAAUACAAACACUUCUUUGUUUUCAGUCAGGAAAUCUCUCCAGAGUUCCAGAGUUAAACUGAAUUUAAGUGUUUUGGUUUGGUGUGAUUUUUUUUUUUUUUUUUUUUGGUAGAACAGGGCAGUUCCAGUUCACUCAUCCCCAGGCCUGAAACCCAAAACCACCUGCUAUGUUUGCUGGUUCUGGGCUAAGGCAGCACCCUGAAGUCACGUGCUGUUAAAGGAAACAGUGUGAGCUAUUGCAAAGUUCAGCAUGCAAGACUCUACUCCAGGCCAACUUGUGGCUGAGCUCUCAUUAAUGAUGGUCUGGAUGAAGUCUGUUUCCUAACUUUCCCCGAACGAACAGCCAGUCAACUGACGUGACUUCAUGAGAGUCACCGUGCUCCUUGUCUUCGUGAGAGCGACCAUGCUUCCCGGCUCCAUGAGAGCCACCGUGCUCCCCAUCUCCAUGAGAGUCACCGUGCUCCCCAUCUCCAUGAGAGCGCCCAUGUUCUCCGUUCUACACAACCUGCUCUGAGUGAUCAAGUCAUUAAUAAUGUCACCACAGCCACCACUGAGCAUGUGCUUGCUCGGUGACCAUGCCCAGAGGGAGUGCCACUCUUGAGUGGCCAUUUCUAUUGUCUGCUCACAUACCACAGAGACUUUCUCUUCCUAGCCCAAGGGAGAUAGCCUAUCUCUUCCUACCAGCUCCCAAGGCUGACCCAAAAGCAAAUCUUGCAUCAAACGAAAGAGCAGGCCUUUGAGAGGGUUCCUGGCUGCUGUAGGAACAGGAAGCACACACAGUCCAAGUCACGUGUCGGGAAGGUCAGGCCAGAUGUCCAUCUCGCCCAACAAAACCUGUCUUUCUGCCUCAUACUGUUCUUCCAUUUAGCGGUGCCUCCUCUUGUUCUAGACCCUUAAGGAAAACCUGCUAUUUCAGAUGUCGAGCCUGGUGCCUACAUAAAGCCUUCACCCCUAAGUUCCAGAGUCUCUGGUACCAAAGAGAUAUGUGAACGAACCAGCCAUGAACACGCCCCUUACAACGGUACCCUGCAAGAUGGGCUAGGGCAAUGCUGGCGCCACAAAGCUUGUGUGUGUAACCAACCAACGUCUGAUCUGAUUUAAGGCCCACGCCAGGAGAUGGAGCUCAAACUGCUUGGGUGACCAAGAACCUGAGACUAGACGGCCCAGGGGCCUAGGGUAAAAACCAAACACUACUGGUCUAAACAAAGAGGGGGGAAAUGUAGCCAUUGAUAAAAUGACGCCUGGCGAUACUUUUGUCGUAUCCAUAGAUCGGAUUUCUUGUUGAACCAACGCUAGAGAAGCUUCCUCCUGCAGCAGAAGGGAAUGAAGAGAGAGCACCUCAUCCUGCCAUGAUGCAAGGACUCUGGAACACUCAUCUCUCGGUAGCUGGAAUGUCUCCAUCCAAUCCCUCUCCCUCUCAGGGCUCAGGGAACCCUGCAGAAGAAGAUGGCGAAGACAUGGGGAAGACAGGAAUGGAGGACACCAAGAAAACACAGUCCUCUAGGUCAACAUAAGCAAAGCUCAAAUGAACUCAAUACUGGCGCUGCAUGCGUGGGGCCCAUGCCAGCCUACACCAGGUCCCUCCUCUGCUUCUGUAUUAUAGCUUUUCCUGUCAUCUUCAUGGGGCUCCGGGGUGCUGGGAUGGGCAGGUCUCUGGCACGGGACUCUUUUCCUUCUGUUGAUUUGUCUUCUCCAACUUUGAUGUGGCAGCUUUUGCUUUAUCUAAUUUUAGUCUAUAUUUUAAGGGAAUGAAUUAAUGAAUGGAUGAAAGCCUAGCAAGUAGGGUAAAGGCUAAUUAAUUAAUGAAAACCUAGCCAGAGCUGGAGAGAUGGCUCAGCAGUUAAGAGCGCUGACUGCUCUUCCAGAGGUCCUGAGUUCAAUUCCCAGCAACCACAUGGUGGCUCACAACCGUCUGUAAUGGGAUCUGAUGCCCUCUUUUGGUGUGGCUGAAGACAGCGACAGUGUAUUUACAAACAUAAAAUAAAUAAAUCUUUUAAAAAAGUAAAAUCUCACAUGAAAGCUCAAGGAAAAAACAGAUACAAAUAAUAAAUUUAAAAAAAUAAAAGCCUAGCCGCUGGAGUAAAGGUUAACAACUGAGCUGCUAGGAAAGGGGAAGUCAGUUCUCUCCAAUGGAGUGACACCAGGUACAUCAACCUCUCAGGGCAGGUCGCAUGUCCAGGAGUAGCCGACCAACAUAUAACAGACUCUACCGUUUUACUGUCUGGAGCCCGUUAUUUUGUUUGGUUACAGUUUGUGGGGUUGCCCUGCCUUUGAGAUAUUGUUUAAUUUUGUUUUCUUAGUUUUUUGAGGGGAAGGUGAAGUUGUUGUGCUGGGGUUUUGCUCUUGGAGAAAGGUUUUAAAGUUGGGGGUGAGGAUCUAGAAGGACUGGGGAGAGGGAAAGGGUAUAAUUAACAUAUAUCUAAAUUUAAAAACUGUUUUAGGUAAUUAAAAAUGCCAAAAGUUAGCUCCCACAAUGUGAAGUAGGUAAGAAAGUUCUUCACAGGUUGAUUGAGGUAGACUGUGGUUUUCUACCUCAUACAUGGGGGGUCCCAGCCCCCAGGACCACAGAAUGUGGUUUUAUCUGGUGAUGGUCAUUCCGGAUGUAAUUGAGGAGAUGCCCUCAUACUGGGUAGGGUACCUAGAGUAGAUCUGGACAGAACAGAUUUGGCCACAGAGAGAACUUCAUCAAGCAGUUGUGUUUCCAGAAACUAGAGAUCUCUGGCCAUGUGAGGAAGGCCUGGGCAGGUGCCCCAGCACAUGCAGGAAGCACACGCCACACCUUGAUCACAAACUUCUGGCCUCCAGACCAUGAGACAAAUGCAUAUCCCGGGGGGGACCCCUGAUUUCAAACACACUCUCAAAUCCUGGUGACUCCAGAUCUCCCACAGAGAACACCAUGUGCCCUGCAUACAGUUUCCCUAACCCACUCAGGGUCACACAGUAGGAACAAAGUUCCCUGGAGGUUUUCAUGGCAAUUAAGUAACUUUGCACACUGCAUUCACAGCAGAAUUAAAAGAGCAUCUUAGCAUAUGCUUGGUGGCUUUCUCUCCUCUAAAAUCCCUGCAUCUAGGGUGUGCCUCCUUUGACAAGAUAACCCAGAAAUGUCUGAAGGGCGGGGGGGGGGGUGUUGCCAGGAUGGUGCUGCUGGGGCUCAGGGACAUGGUAGCUAAGGCAGGAUUGGGAUCAGAAGAGGGAGGGAACGGGAUGUGGGACCAGCUCAGGGUCUGGUUCUCCCCAGAACAAUCAAAGAGCAAGACCUUGAUCCCCAGAGUUGAGGUGACUUGCCAAUCCCAGCUUUCCUCUUUCCUGCAACCAAGAGCUAAGGCAGGCAGCAGCAAGCAGCCUCUUACCGCCAGUCUGGAGCUCUCCCCCCGCCCCAUCUCCAAAGAGAAGAAGAAACGCAGAGGCUUCCAGGAAAGGGACCCUGACCCACCAUUUUCUUUGCCUGAGCUGGAGCCUAAAGAAUGUCCCGUCCCCGCUAGCCAACCCCAUUGUGAAACAGAACAGGACGUGCUCUUAAUAAAAGACACAUGGAAAGUCUUCAUUCUGCACGCGUUCCCAGGCCUGAACCUCAUUUUAAACUUAUGAACUUGCAAAAAGGAAGUCCCACACUGCUCACAAUCUGCCGGUGUCAGCAUGUCCGAGUAGCAAUGGGUCCAGCUAAGACCCUUGGAGUGCCACACCAACGUUCAGCUCCAUCUCCUUUUUAAGGAGAGAGGCCCUUCCUCUUGGCAUUCCGCCCUGCGAGCGAAAGCUGCCCCACGCAUGUGCUUUGAGACAAAUGUGAUUACACAGGCACUGCUAAACGCAGAUGACUUCAUGGCAGAUGCAAGCUCAUGGAGUCCAGUACUUCAGACACUUUACUCCCUCACCCCAGAGCCAGGGAGUAUCUGUACGGGGUCAUCAGCCUUCACAAAAGGAGACAAAACACCAACCCAAGAAAUUCCCACUCGGCUGUAGUCUCAGAGUGUUUGGGGCCACCGGUCUGGCUGCCGGAGGCUAACCUCUUUUAUUCAUCUCUCUGUCUCUCUCUGUCUCUGUCUCUGUCUCUGUCUCUGUGUCUCUGUCUCUCUGUCUCUUUGUCUCUCUCUGUCUUUCUGUCUCUCUGUCUCUUUGUCUCUCUCUGUCUUUCUCUCUGUCUCUGUCUCUGUGUCUCUGUCUCUCUCUGUCUCUCUCUGUCUUUCUCUCUGUCUCUGUCUCUCUGUGUCUCUCUGUGUCUCUCUCUGUCUCUGUGUUUCUCUCUGUGUCUCUCUCUGUCUCUGUCUCUGUGUCUCUCUAUCUGUCUCUGUCUGUCUCUGUCUGUCUCUCUCUGUCUCUCUCUGUCUUUCUCUCUGUCUCUGUCUCUGUGUCUCUGUCUCUCUCUGUCUCUCUGUCUCUCUCUGUCUUUCUCUCUGUCUCUGUCUCUCUCUGUCUCUGUGUCUCUCUCUGUGUCUCUCUGUGUCUCUCUGUCUCUCUGUCUCUCUCUGUCUCUCUCUGUCUCUCUCUCUGUCUCUCUCUGUCUCUCUGUCUCUCUCUGUCUCUCUCUCUCGUCAGAAAUGAAAGAGCCACUACAGCUUCCUUAGGAAACCUUCCUAGAAUUUAAAACAGAAUAUGAAUCUUGAAGUUUGCCCGACCAUAUUAAUGCUGCAAACACGGCAAGUGCGGUGCGGAGUGACGGGGACAUGUCUGUUGACAUGGCCCAGGAAUCUUGUUACAGCUUCACCUCGGAAACGGAGCAGGGCUUUCUUUAAGCCUGUUUUGGAGAACCUUAGCAUGUAUCUCACUCAGACAUCUGUCUUUUAUUAUCAAGGGGCACCAACAGCCAGAUGACAGCAGCCGGGUUUUCUCGGUGCCUGGAAAGUCAGACCCUUGCUCUUCAGUCUUCCCAUCUUAACUCAGUGAUCUGCCUCAUUGAUAAACAGCUUUUCCCACAUCAGUUAGUCCUUCUUAGAUGCAUGUCCUUUUCAUAAUAAUGUUCAGGAAAAUACCUAAAACCUGUGGUACCCAUGCAGAACUCAUGUUAAAUGUUUUCUGACUGACACUGCAGCAUGCCAAUUUAUGAAUAAAAUUACGAUGUCUGCUUUUUCAGGUCACUUAAUACACACUAACAAAUUGUCCUGCCUAGGGCCUGGGCGUGUGCAUGUGUGUCUGUGUGUGUGCGUGCGCGCAUGCGUGUGUGCGUGUGUGCAUGCAUGCGUGUGUGUGCGUGUGCAUGUGUGUGCGUGUGCAUAUAUGUGUGUGUGUCUGUGCGUGUGUGUGCAUGUGUGUGCGUGUGUGUAUAUGCAUGUGUGCGUGCGUGCGCGUGCGUGCGUGUGUGUGCGUGUGUGUGUGUGUGUGUGUGCGCGCACGCGCGCUCCAUUAAGGAAUGCUACUUCUUCCUAAUUAUGGGGAACUUCCAUUUCUGUAUUCAACAUCUUUUAAGUUACUAAGGAUCUCAAGUUUUCUUGUAAACUGUGUAUUGGCAUAAUCUUGGACACGGGACUUUAGUAUUUUUUUUUACUUUGACCUAUAAAAGCUGGCUGUUCUUAGAAGCGCUCCCAACCCCUGACCCUGCCUGCUCUGUGAGCUUGCAGAUGAAAACAAACUUUGGUCACCCAGAGCUGCGGUCAAGGUUCACACUGCAGCGCCAGGGAGCCACCAGCCUGCAGCAGCAAGUAGACUGCUCCAAACAUAGCAGGCACUGAAGAUGAAAAUUCCGAUCCAUCCCCCAAAAAGUCCGGGCUUUAAUACCCUGUGUGCGCUGUUCUGCAGGCUUGAAUGAGUGAGGAAUCCCCUUGAUAGGGAAAGCGGUAAGUCAUUUAAUAGCUCGGCCCUCGCUUGGCUUUUGAUGCAUCCUUUAAACAUGCCCAGCCACCGGUCCAUUCAACGCAAGGGUGAGACUGCAAAGCCAGCGACGAAAACCGUUCAAACAAAGCCAUCGCAGAAAGCUUCGCGGCACAGAGAUGAGGUUUUCUGAUCGGUGUUGGCGAGGGGCGAAGCCGACCUCCCAACUUCACAUUAGGGUGGAGCAGAACCCUACCGCCGCCCGCACAGCCAACUCUCCUUCUCGUGACCCCGAGCCGGCCCCGAGCGUCACCGCGGCCCCCUCUGCUGUCUGUGCUCACAGGGCGGGUCCCCUUCCCGGAUCCCCGCACACAAUGGCGCCCCGAACUCCCGCCGCCGGUCCCCGCGCCUGGCGCGCCGCCGGGUCCG